rnacentral:sRNA from 1 species
AAGGAGUGAAAAAAAAUGGAACCUGUCAGACCGCCGUGCAACCACCC